AUUGAACGCUGGCGGCAGGCCUAACACAUGCAAGUCGAGCGAGCGGCGGACGGGUGAGUAAUGUAUGGGGACUGCCCGAUAGAGGGGGAUAACUACUGGAAACGGUGGCUAAUACCGCAUACUAUCGGAUAACCCAUAUGGGAUUAGCUAGUAGGUGGGGUAAAGGCUCACCUAGGCGACGAUCUCUAGCUGGUCUGAGAGGAUGAUCAGCCACACUGGGACUGAGACACGGCCCAGACUCCUACGGAGGCAGAAGUGGGGAAGAUUGCACAAUGGGGGCAAGUCUGAUGCAGCCAUGCCGCGUGAAUGAAGAAGGACUUAGGGUUGUAAAGUACUUUCAUCAGGGAGGCGUUACCUAAAGAAAAAGCACCGGCUAACUCCGUGCCAGCAGCCGCGGUAAUUC
rnacentral:rRNA from 1 species